rnacentral:rRNA from 1 species
AUUGAACGCUGGCGGCAUGCCUUACACAUGCAAGUCGAACGGUAACAGGCCGCAAGGUGCUGACGAGUGGCGAACGGGUGAGUAACACAUCGGAACGUGCCUGAUAGUGGGGGAUAACUACUCGAAAGAGUAGCUAAUACCGCAUAAGAUCUCAGGAUGAAAGCAGGGGACCGCAAGGCCUUGCGCUAACAGAGCGGCCGAUGGCAGAUUAGGUAGUUGGUGGGAUAAAAGCUUACCAAGCCGACGAUCUGUAGCUGGUCUGAGAGGACGACCAGCCACACUGGGACUGAGACACGGCCCAGACUCCUACGGGAGGCAGCAGUGGGGAAUUUUGGACAAUGGGCGCAAGCCUGAUCCAGCAAUGCCGCGUGCAGGAUGAAGGCCUCGGUUGUAACUAGCUUUGUACGGAACGAAAAGACUCUGGUUAAUACCUGGGCCCGACUGACGGUACCGU